CAGCCGCCGCGGGAAUACGAAGGGUGCAAGCGUUAAUCGGAAUUACUGGGCGUAAAGCGCGCGUAGGCGGUUUGUUAAGUCUGCUGUGAAAUCCCCGGGCUCAACCUGGGAAUGGCAGUGGAUACUGGCAAGCUAGAGUGUGUCAGAGGAUGGUGGAAUUCCCGGUGUAGCGGUGAAAUGCGUAGAUAUCGGGAGGAACAUCAGUGGCGAAGGCGGCCAUCUGGGACAACACUGACGCUGAGGCACGAAAGCGUGGGGAGCAAACAGGAUUAGAUACCCCCGUAGUCCCUGUCUCUUAUAA
rnacentral:rRNA from 1 species